GUGGGGAAUAUUGGGCAAUGGGGGAAACCCUGACCCAGCAACGCCGCGUGAAGGAAGAAGGUCUUCGGAUCGUAAACUUCUAUCCUUGGUGAAAAUAAUGAUGGUAGCCAAGAAGGAAGCCCCGGCUAACUACGUGCCAGCAGCCGCGGUAAUACGUAGGGGGCAAGCGUUGUCCGGAAUGAUUGGGCGUAAAGGGCGCGUAGGCGGCCUGGUAAGUCUGGAGUGAAAGUCCUGCUUUUAAGGUGGGAAUUGCUUUGGAUACUGUCGGGCUUGAGUGCAGGAGAGGUAAGUGGAAUUCCCGGUGUAGCGGUGAAAUGCGUAGAGAUCGGGAGGAACACCAGUGGCGAAGGCGACUUACUGGACUGUAACUGACGCUGAGGCGCGAAAGUGUGGGGAGCAAACAGGAUUAGAAACCCGUGUAGUCC
rnacentral:rRNA from 1 species